AACAAACGCUGGCGGCGUGCCUAAUACAUGCAAGUCGAACGGGGAAAGCUUUCGGGUGAGUACUAGUGGCGCACGGGUGAGGAACGCGUGGAUAAUCUGCCUUAGAGUGGGGGAUAACUAGUCGAAAGAUUAGCUAAUACCGCAUAAGACCACAGGAGCUGCGGCUCAAGGGGUCAAAGGUUUUUCGCUCUAAGAUGAGUCCGCGUAAGAUUAGCUAGUUGGUGAGGUAACGGCUCACCAAGGCGACGAUCUUUAACUGGUCUGAGAGGAUGAUCAGUCACACUGGAACUGAGACACAGUCCAGACUCCUACGGGAGGCAGCAGUAGGGAAUAUUGCACAAUGGAGGAAACUCUGAUGCAGCGACGCCGCGUGAGUGAUGAAGGCCUUCGGGUCGUAAAGCUCUGUCGCAGGGGAAUAACACAAUGAAUGCACCCUGUAAGAAAGGAUCGGCUAACUUCGUGCCAGCAGCCGCGGUAAAAC
rnacentral:rRNA from 1 species